CCAGACUCUUACGGGAGGCAGCAGUGGGGAAUAUUGCACAAUGGGGGGAACCCUGAUGCAGCGACGCCGCGUGGGUGAAGGAGCACCUCGGUGCGUAAAGCCCUAUCGGCAGGGAAGAAACAGACGGUACCUGACUAAGAAGCCCCGGCUAACUACGUGCCAGCAGCCGCGGUAAUACGUAGGGGGCAAGCGUUAUCCGGAUUUACUGGGUGUAAAGGGAGCGUAGACGGCUGUGCAAGUCUGAAGUGAAAGGCCGGGGCCCAACCCCGGGAGUGCUUUGGAAACUGUGCGGCUAGAGUGUCGGAGAGGCAAGUGGAAUUCCAGGUGUAGGAGUGAAAUCCGUAGAUAUCUGGAGGAACAUCAGUGGCGAAGGCGACUAUCUGGCACAUAACUGACGCUGAGGAGCGAAAGCGUGGGUAGCAAACAGGAUUAGAUACCCCGGUACC
rnacentral:rRNA from 1 species